rnacentral:rRNA from 1 species
AAUCAACGCUGGCGGCGUGCCUAACACAUGCAAGUCGAGCGCGAAAGCGGGGCAACCCGCAAGUAGAGCGGCGAACGGGUGAGUAACGCGUGGGUGAUCUACCUCCGAGUGGGGAACAACAUCGGGAAACUGGUGCUAAUACCGCAUGACAUCCUCAGGUCACACUGAGGAUCAAAGCCGGGGACCGUAAGGCCUGGCGCUUGGAGAGGAGCCCGCGUCCGAUUAGCUAGUUGGCGGGGUAACGGCCC